rnacentral:rRNA from 1 species
GAUGAACGCUGGCGGCGUGCCUAAUACAUGCAAGUCGAGCGAACAGACGAGGAGCUUGCUCCUCUGACGUUAGCGGCGGACGGGUGAGUAACACGUGGAUAACCUACCUAUAAGACUGGGAUAACUUCGGGAAACCGGAGCUAAUACCGGAUAAUAUAUUGAACCGCAUGGUUCAAUAGUGAAAGACGGUUUUGCUGUCACUUAUAGAUGGAUCCGCGCCGCUUUAGCUAGUUGUUAAGUGAACGGCUUACCAAGGCGACGAUGCGUAUCCGACCUGCGAGGGUGAUCGGCCACCCGAGAACGUAGACACGGUCCAAGCUCCUGCGGGAGGCAGCAGUAGGGAAUCUUCCGCAAUGGGCGAAAGCCUGACGGAACAACGCCGCGUGAGUGAUGAAGGUCUUGGGAUCGUAAAACUCUGUUAUUAGGGAAGAACAAAUGUGUAAGUAACUAUGCACGUCUUGACGGUACCCAAUCAGAAAGCCACGGCUAACUACGUG